rnacentral:lncRNA from 1 species
GCUGUGCCUCCUUGGAUGGUCACGUCUGGUUCUGGUUCGUGACUGAGUUGGACGGCCUGAAGUUCAUCAAGCCUCUGAUGGAUCGCCUCCAAACCUGUAUUCAACAAGUUAGACAUAGAAUCAUUCAGAGCACGCAUUUGCAAGUUAGAUAAUCCGGCAUAUGAAUUUCUGGGUCGGUUUCUUUCUUCUUCACUAUCCAUGGUUACCUGAAAACAUAAACAAGGUAAAGUUAGAUUAAAAACCUCACACACUCAGGUGUUUAUCCUCACCCACACACGUGUUUCACUCAAUUUUUUUGUUGGUAAUCACACAAGAGAGUUCCUCCCAAAGUUCUAAGAGAGCAAACUAGAUCACCCAAUGAGCAAAUCCAAGUGAACCACAAAAGAUCAAAAGAGAAAGAUAAGAGAUUUAGAGGGGAACCCGCCUUAACCACCUCAAACGCCGGAUUUCUCUUUGGCCAGCAGGCUUUCUCUUCCACCACCACACCACAAACAAAUCAAACUUUGGAAUAUCUUUUUUAUACUUUUUUUUUUAUAUAUCUUUCUUUUCUUUUUUUUAUGGGGGUAAUGAGGGGCCCGGGUUCAAGAUAGAUAGAUAAGAAAUUUAGAUGAAGAAUAUGGAAGAUGAGAUGAAAUGGAUUCAAAAAGAGUUACCGAGAGAGUGGCUCUGAUACCACUUGAUAGAACCAAAAUAAGGAUCACUCUUUCGGUAAGGUUGAUAUGAACUCAGAUCGGAGAGGAUUGAGAACUGAUGGAUCUAGGGGUGACACUAAGGGUUGCAGAAUAGCCCAAAGAUACUACCAGAGAUUCGAAGGUUGCCGGAUGUGACGCACCAGUCCAACACAACGAAGUGGUUCGCUUGGAGAUGACCUCACCAAGAGAAGUAUGAAUGUUCUAAGCAAAGAACAAUGAGAGAAGUCUCAAAAUAAGCAAAGGAAAAUCGAUGUAGAUUUUAUUAAGGGAAUCAUCACAUACUUAUAAGGUUUGUGAGUCAAAGAAACAUAAAGACAUUUGUGGGAAAAGACAACAUAGAAAAUAGAAAUGAAUGAAAACAAGACAUAGAAACUAGAAAUGAAGACUUUGACUAAAGACUGGUCAAGGUGCGGAUUCUUGUGUUGACUGGUCCAGAUUCAAAAAGAUGUCCAGGUUCAUUCUGUGGUGAUCAGGUCGUUUGCGGUAAGGAGCAGGGCGGACGUAAGGCUGCCCGCAUGGUUGAUCGUCGAUGAUCCAUGAACGGAUGAAGAGAUAGCUCGACCCAAAUCUUCAGAGAGCUUAAGUAUCCUUCCUUUGGAGUAGUUGGUAGCAUCUAUCAUCAUGAAAUCAUCAAAGUGGUUGGAAAGGUCGUGACCAGCCUGAUCCGGGCAUGCGGUACGUCCCAAACGGGCCAGGAAAGACAGGCUAAGUCCGGAAUCUGAUUCUUCUCGAUGAUCAUGAAUUCUGGCUUGACUGUUGGCUCUAGAAUGGCGAAUGGGUCAGGGAAGAACGCCUGUGGGUUGGCUGAUUCGGUCAUCAGGUCGUGGAUCCAUCCUUAGGUCACGGGUGCAUGCGGGUCGAUCCGGUACACGGCUCUGUCCGUUGAUCUGGUACGGCUGAAUGGCUGAACCUCAGUUGGACUGAUCUGAUCGUCCUGGUCACCAUGCUGAGUCUGCUCCACGUCCUGGUCCAGGUCCUGGGUUCUAUCAGUCUGUCUCCGUCAGCACACACAAGACGUCCGUGCCUGUCCAUCAAUACUCAUAUCAGCACGUUGG